UACGUAGGGGGCAAGCGUUGUCCGGAUUUAUUGGGCGUAAAGCGCACGUAGGCGGAUUGUUAAGUCAGGGGUGAAAUCCUGGAGCUCAACUCCAGAACUGCCUUUGAUACUGGCGAUCUCGAGUCCGGGAGAGGUGAGUGGAACUGCGAGUGUAGAGGUGAAAUUCGUAGAUAUUCGCAAGAACACCAGUGGCGAAGGCGGCUCACUGGCCCGGUACUGACGCUGAGGUGCGAAAGCGUGGGGAGCAACAGG
rnacentral:rRNA from 1 species